CCGGAGCUAACGCGUUAAGUAGACCGCCUGGGGAGUACGGCCGCAAGGUUAAAACUCAAAUGAAUUGACGGGGGCCCGCACAAGCGGUGGAGCAUGUGGUUUAAUUCGAUGCAACGCGAAGAACCUUACCUGGUCUUGACAUCCACAGAAGUUUGCAGAGAUGCGAAUGUGCCUUCGGGAACUGUGAGACAGGUGCUGCAUGGCUGUCGUCAGCUCGUGUUGUGAAAUGUUGGGUUAAGUCCCGCAACGAGCGCAAC
rnacentral:rRNA from 1 species